AAAUUGAAGAGUUUGAUCAUGGCUCAGAUUGAACGCUGGCGGCAGGCCUAACACAUGCAAGUCGAACGGUAACAGGAAGCAGCUUGCUGCUUCGCUGACGAGUGGCGGACGGGUGAGUAAUGUCUGGGAAACUGCCUGAUGGAGGGGGAUAACUACUGGAAACGGUGGCUAAUACCGCAUAACGUCGCAAGACCAAAGAGGGGGACCUUCGGGCCUCUUGCCAUCAGAUGUGCCCAGAUGGGAUUAGCUUGUUGGUGAGGUAACGGCUCACCAAGGCGACGAUCCCUAGCUGGUCUGAGAGGAUGACCAGCCACACUGGAACUGAGACACGGUCCAGACUCCUACGGGAGGCAGCAGUGGGGAAUAUUGCACAAUGGGCGCAAGCCUGAUGCAGCCAUGCCGCGUGUAUGAAGAAGGCCUUCGGGUUGUAAAGUACUUUCAGCGGGGAGGAAGGUGUUGUGGUUAAUAACCACAGCAAUUGACGUUACCCGCAGAAGAAGCACCGGCUAACUCCGUGCCAGCAGCCGCGGUAAUACGGAGGGUGCAAGCGUUAAUCGGAAUUACUGGGCGUAAAGCGCACGCAGGCGGUCUGUCAAGUCGGAUGUGAAAUCCCCGGGCUCAACCUGGGAACUGCAUUCGAAACUGGCAGGCUUGAGUCUUGUAGAGGGGGGUAGAAUUCCAGGUGUAGCGGUGAAAUGCGUAGAGAUCUGGAGGAAUACCGGUGGCGAAGGCGGCCCCCUGGACAAAGACUGACGCUCAGGUGCGAAAGCGUGGGGAGCAAACAGGAUUAGAUACCCUGGUAGUCCACGCCGUAAACGAUGUCUACUUGGAGGUUGUGCCCUUGAGGCGUGGCUUCCGGAGCUAACGCGUUAAGUAGACCGCCUGGGGAGUACGGCCGCAAGGUUAAAACUCAAAUGAAUUGACGGGGGCCCGCACAAGCGGUGGAGCAUGUGGUUUAAUUCGAUGCAACGCGAAGAACCUUACCUGGUCUUGACAUCCACAGAAGAAUCCAGAGAUGGAUUUGUGCCUUCGGGAACUGUGAGACAGGUGCUGCAUGGCUGUCGUCAGCUCGUGUUGUGAAAUGUUGGGUUAAGUCCCGCAACGAGCGCAACCCUUAUCCUUUGUUGCCAGCGGUUAGGCCGGGAACUCAAAGGAGACUGCCAGUGAUAAACUGGAGGAAGGUGGGGAUGACGUCAAGUCAUCAUGGCCCUUACGACCAGGGCUACACACGUGCUACAAUGGCGCAUACAAAGAGAAGCGACCUCGCGAGAGCAAGCGGACCUCAUAAAGUGCGUCGUAGUCCGGAUUGGAGUCUGCAACUCGACUCCAUGAAGUCGGAAUCGCUAGUAAUCGUGGAUCAGAAUGCCACGGUGAAUACGUUCCCGGGCCUUGUACACACCGCCCGUCACACCAUGGGAGUGGGUUGCAAAAGAAGUAGGUAGCUUAACCUUCGGGAGGGCGCUUACCACUUUGUGAUUCAUGACUGGGGUGAAGUCGUAACAAGGUAACCGUAGGGGAACCUGCGGUUGGAUCACCUCCUUA
rnacentral:rRNA from 3 species